rnacentral:snRNA from 1 species
AUGCUCCCUUUGGCAGUAGGCAUACUAAAACUGGAAUGAUACAGAAAUUAACAUGGCCUCUGCACAAGGGUGACAUGAGAACUUGUGAAACAUUACUACUUUCA